rnacentral:tRNA from 2 species
GCGCACGUGGUGAAAUUGGUAGACACGCUGUCUUCAGGCGGCAGUGCCGCAAGGUGUGGAGGUUCGAAUCCUCUCGUGCGCA